AUUGAACGCUGGCGGCAUGCUUUACACAUGCAAGUCGAACGGUAACAGGGAGCUUGCUCCGCUGACGAGUGGCGAACGGGUGAGUAAUGCGUCGGAACGUGCCGAGUAGUGGGGGAUAACGCAGCGAAAGUUGUGCUAAUACCGCAUACGUACUGAGGUAGAAAGUGGGGGACCUUCGGGCCUCACGCUAUUCGAGCGGCCGACGUCUGAUUAGCUAGUAGGUGAGGUAAAGGCUCACCUAGGCGACGAUCAGUAGCGGGUCUGAGAGGAUAAUCCGCCACACUGGGACUGAGACACGGCCCAGACUCCUACGGGAGGCAGCAGUGGGGAAUUUUGGACAAUGGGCGAAAGCCUGAUCCAGCCAUGCCGCGUGUCUGAAGAAGGCCUUCGGGUUGUAAAGGACUUUUGUCGGGGAGGAAAUCCCCAGCGCUAAUACCGCUGGGGGAUGACAGUACCUGAAGAAUAAGCACCGGCUAACUACGUGCCAGCAGCCGCGGUAACAC
rnacentral:rRNA from 1 species